rnacentral:rRNA from 1 species
AAUCAAUUGAAGGGUUUGAUUCUGGCUCAGAAUGAACGUUGGCGGCGUGGAUUAGGCAUGCAAGUCGAGCGAGAAGUUUACUUCGGUAAAUGGACAGCGGCGAAAGGGACAGUAAUGUGUAGGUACCUACCCCCCGAUCUGGGAUAGCUGCGGGAAACUGCAGGUAAUACCGGAUAAUGUCUUCGGACCAAAG